GCAUGACCUCUGCUAAAAAAAGUAGGAUGAAUCCUAAGGAAGUUAAUAGCUGAAGGCUGCAGCUACUAGAUUCCAGAGAGUGGCCUGGGGCACAAGAUACUCAACCAGAGCAGACAGUGUCAGCCUCUGUCAUGGAAAGCACAGAGCUUCCUAUCCUACAUGAUUGUCUAUUGUAAUGCCAAAUUACAAGCAAUGGAGUCUCACUGUGUUGCCCAGGCUGGAGUGCUGUGGCAUGAUCUCAGCUCACUGCCAUCUCUGCCUCUUGAGUUCAAGCGAUUCUCCUGCCUCAGCUUCCCAAGUAGCUGGGAUUACAGGCGCACGCCACCACGCCCCGCUAGUUUUUGUAUUUUCAGUAGAGACGGGGUUUCACCAUGUUGGCCAGACUGGUCUGUAACUCCAGACUUCAGGUGAUCUGCCCACCUUGGCCUCCCAAAGUGCUGGGAUUACAGGCCUGAGCCACCAUGCCCAGCCAAUUUCCAUAUAUUUUUUAUACUGGGAUUUCAGAGAGUAAUUUCCUCUUCAUGUGUAACCAGUUAUGUGAAUUAAAACAGAUUCAGCCUUCUUUUACGGUUGUG
rnacentral:lncRNA from 1 species